CAGCCGCCGCGGUAAUACCGGCGGCCCGAGUGGCGGCCACUAUUAUUGGGCUUAAAGCGUCCGUAGCCGGGUUGGUUAGUCUCCCGGGAAAUCUGGCCGCUUAACGGUCAGAAUUCCGGGAGAUACUGCCAGCCUAGGGACCGGGAGAGGCCGAGGGUAUUCCCGGAGUAGGGGUGAAAUCCUAUAAUCCCGGGAGGACCACCUGUGGCGAAGGCGCUCGGCUGGAACGGGUCCGACGGUGAGGGACGAAGGCCAGGGGAGCAAACCGGAUUAGAUACCCGGGUAGUCCUGGCUGUAAACGAUGCGGACUUUGUGUCGGACAAGCUAUGAGCUUGUCCGGUGCCGGAGGGAAACCGUUAAGUUCGCCGCCUGGGGAGUACGGCCGCAAGGCUGAAACUUAAAGGAAUUGGCGGG
rnacentral:rRNA from 1 species